rnacentral:tRNA from 1 species
GGACGAGUAGCUCAGCUGGCUAGAGCAUCCGACUUUUAAUCGGAAUGUCGCGGGUUCGAGUCCCGCCUCGUCUACCA